AGCUCAUAAACCAAUAUUCAAAACGCUACCGUUUCGUCGUCGAAGGUCGGAUCAAAAAACUGUCUCACGAUUCCUUUGCGUGUGCGUCUGAAGAUGUCGUUUGCAAAGUUUGGUGUCGAUUGGUCAAGAAAUGUGGGAGGAGUAGCGAAAAUACAGUUUUGCGGUUUUCGCGAUUUUGCGAAAAAAAAUUCUAGACGCAAAUGGGCGUGGCCUAUGCCAAAAGAUGCAGCAGACUCCAGUGAAUAUGUGCGUACAAGUUUUUGACUGUGGGAGGUUCGGUGUGGGAGUUAUAGCCCCAAACGCAUUUUCCCUUGGUAUAGCGCCACCUAGUGGCCGGCGUGUCUGGAUUUUGUUAUCUGAGUAGCGGUGCCGAUUCUGGAUCUAGUCAUGCAAUUGGCGUGUCGGCACCAUUUACGGUUUGGGCUGUGGUUCCACUUUCACGGGGAGGUAGUAUAAUAAUAACUAGAACUGCAAGCAGUUAUGCAGGGGUCCAAGAAGUGUGCAUUUCGCCGGCGUCUGAAGAUAUCGUGUGCAAAGUUUGGUGUCGAUUGGUCAAGAAAUGUGGGAAGAGUAGGGAAAAAACUGUUUUGCGUUUUUUGCGAUUUUGCGAAAAAAAAUUAUAGACGCAAAUGGGCGUGGCCUAUGCCAAAAGAUGCAGCAGACUCCAGUGAAUCUGUGUGUACAAGGUUUUGAAUGUGGGAGGUUCGGUGUGGGAGUUAUAGCCUCAAACGCGUAUUCCCUGGUAUAGCGCCACCUAGUGGCCGGCGUGUCUGGAUUUUGUCGUCUGCGUAGUCCGAAGGGAUCUGGAUCUAGUCAUGCAAUUGGCGUGUCGGCACCAUUUACGGUCUGGGCUGUGGUACCACUUCUAGUUGGGAAUAAUAAUAAUAACUAGAACUGCAAGCAGUUAUGCAGGGGUCCAAGAAGUGUGCAUUUCGCCGGCACAACGCGACAAGAAAUGUGCGUUUCGCCGGCAGAACGCGAAGCAAGUAUUCAAAUCGCUACCCUGAACCUGUGGAUAUAAAGGUUUUGACUGUGGGAGCUUCGGUGUGGGAGUUAUAGCCUAAAACUCGUUUUCAGAACAUUCCAUUGGCCAAAUAGGAGAUAGACAAUGUCGUCGUUUUUUGGCGCCGCCCUGUGGCGACAUUUUCCAAAGACAAUUUUCCUUUGCCAAAUAACUCCCGCCCACAUUAAUAAUUCUUGCCCAUAUUUUCUAUAUAGACUCGGGUUUGCCCCUUGAUGGUUCCCUUAUAGUUUGAAUAACAUUCCUCUGGCCAAUUAGAAGAUAUACAAUUUCCUCGUUUAUUGCGCCCCCUAAUGGCGAAAAAUUCAGUUUUUUUUAUUCAACGCCAUUAAGGGUAACACUGACAUGCGUCUAAAAUUUGGGCUUGAUCCGAUGUCUAAUUUUGGUAUUUUUUGAAUUUUUGCGUUUCGGCGUAAAACGUAGCUAAUAAACCAAUGUUCAAAACGCUACCGUUUCGUCGUCGAGGGUCGGAUCAAAAAAGUGUUCGAGCAUUCUUUGCGUGUGCGUCUGAAGAUGCCGUGUGCAAAGUUUGGUGUCGAUUGGUCAAGAAAUGUGGGAGGAGUAGGGAAAAAACAGUUUUGCGGUUUUUGCGAUUUUGCGAAAAAAAAUUAUAGACGCAAAUGGGCGUGGCCUAUGCCAAAAGAUGCAGCAGACUCCAGUGCAUAUGUGCGUACAAGUUUUUGACUGUGGGAGGUUCGGUGUGGGAGUUAUAGCCCCAAACGCGUAUUCCUUGGUAUAGCGCCACCUAGUGGCCGGCAUGUCUGGAUUUUGUCGUCUGCGUAGUCCCCACGGAUCUGGAUCUAGUCAUGCAAUUGGCGUGUCGGCACCAUUUACGGUUUGGGCUGUGGGCACACUUUUAGGGAGGUAAGUAUAAUAAUAAUAAUAAACACUACAAAAACAAUAGGGAUCCAACCUGUUGGCUUGGACCCCU
rnacentral:lncRNA from 1 species